CGCGUAAGUGGUUUGUUAAGUCGGAUGUGAAAGCCCCGGGCUCAACCUGGGAACUGCACCCGAUACUGGCCGACUAGAGUGCGGGAGAGGGAGGUAGAAUUCCACGUGUAGCGGUGAAAUGCGUAGAUAUGUGGAGGAAUACCGGUGGCGAAGGCGGCCUCCUGGCCUGACACUGACGCUGAGGUGCGAAAGCGUGGGGAGCAAACA
rnacentral:rRNA from 1 species